UCCAAGACCUGGUGCAAAUGGAUGUCCAU
rnacentral:piRNA from 1 species